CCAGGGGGUCCGUACACUCGAUUUUCGAGAGUGUCUGGCCAAGAUAGUUUCCUUAGAGACGAUGAAAAGAAUUACCAAGAUGUCCUUGAUCCGACUGAGGAGCCUACGCAUUCACACUCGAACGGAAUUGAAUGGGGGAUGCAUAACUACUUUUCACUGAAGAAGGGAACGAGGUACAACUUAUAAUUUCGAUCGAAGACCUUAAAAUCAUGCCUGACAAGACCAAUGAAAUCAUAACGAUAUCUUAUAGUGUGGAUAACAGAGUAGCCUAUUCUACAAUCAUUCAAUAAGUGAUGAGCCAGAGCAACCAAUCACCGUCCCUGCAGCUGUUCUACCCACCACCCACACUGCUCUCCCUCCACAAGCAUCCUCAUUCUCUUCUCCUGUUCAACUCAUUUGACACCAGACUGAAAAAGACUGUACAUACAUACCUCUGUGUCCAUCUCAUUGCAACAUGAUCCAACCAAGGCCAAAGAUGGACGCCUAAAAUGUGAGAAAUGUAAACAAGAUGCUACAGUUGUAUGUGUGUGUGUGUGUGUGUGUGUGUGUGUGUGUGUGUGUGUGUGUGUGUGUGUGUGUGUGUGUGUGUGUGUGUGUGUGUGUGUGUGUGUGUGUACGGACUUCCAAGAAAAGACAUGAGUGGAUGGCAAAUGAGAUAGCGAUGAGAGUGAGAGCAUAAGUAUGAAAAUAAAG